rnacentral:ncRNA from 2 species
UUCCAUCGCUAGGGGUCUGCUGUUGCACGCUGAGGCAUGCAAUGGCAGUGAGAAUUACCCUUUGAACCUGAUGUGGAUUAUCCCACCGUAGGGAAGCGCAGUUUGGUUUGA